GAUGAACGCUGGCGGCGUGCUUAACACAUGCAAGUCGAACGGGAUCCAAGGGGUGCUUGCACUUUUUGGUGAGAGUGGCGAACGGGUGAGUAACACGUGAGUAACCUGUCCUUUUCUUUGGGAUAAGCAUUCGAAAGGGUGUUUAAUACCUUAUGUUCUGUCUGCCUCGCAUGGGGUGGGUGGGAAAGGCUUUGGCCGGAUUUGGGUGGGCUCGCGGUCUAUCAGCUUGUUGGUGGGGUGAUGGCUUACCAAGGCUUUGACGGGUAGCCGGCCGGAGAGGGUGGUCGGUCACAUUGGGACUGAGAUACGGCCCAGACUCCUGCGGGAGGCAGCAGUGGGGGAUAUUGCACAAUGGGCGAAAGCCUGAUGCAGCGACGCCGCGUGGGGGAUGAAGGCCUUCGGGUUGUAAACUUCUUUUGCUCUGAACAAGGCAUGCCAGUGGGUGUGUUGAGUGUAGGGGUUGAUUAGCGCCGGCUAACUACGUG
rnacentral:rRNA from 1 species